GUGAGGAAUAUUGCGCAAUGGCCGAAAGGCUGACGCAGCGACGCCGCGUGGAGGAUGAAGUCCGUUAGGAUGUAAACUCCUUUUGCAGGGGAUGAAUGUUCCGCUUUAUGCGGACUUGACCGUACCCUGCGAAUAAGGAUCGGCCAACUACGUGCCAGCAGCCGCGGUAAUACGUAGGAUCCAAGCGUUGUCCGGAUUUACUGGGUGUAAAGGGCGUGUAGGUGGAUUUUUAAGUCGGUGGUGAAAUCCUGCAGCUCAACUGCAGAAUUGCCUCCGAUACUGGAAAUCUUGAGUGCGGCAGAGGGAGACGGAAUUCAUGGUGUAGCGGUGAAAUGUGUAGAUAUCAUGAAGAACACCGGUUGCGAAGGCGGUCUCCUGGUCCGUUACUGACACUGAGGCGCGAAAGCGUGGGGAGCAAACAGGAUUAGAAACCCUAGUAGUCC
rnacentral:rRNA from 1 species